CGUAAUUUAUAUUAUUAUUAUUAUAUAUAUAAUCUAUGUAUUUAUAUUAUUAUCUUCUAUGUAAUUUAUAUUAAGUGGAAAAGUAACAUACUUAUUAAUUGAAUAGAUAAUAAGACUGGAUUUAAUUGACUGGAUAAAGAAUAUCAUAUUGUAAAAUGCCAAUUCUGACAAUACCUUACAUGUCUCUUAGCUCAAUUAGGAAAGGAGAUACAACAGUCUGAAAAUACCUAAUUUGUAUUCGAUUUUUUAUGACGGUGAAAUGUUUUUUCAGCUGUUUUUUGCAGUUUCUUUCCUAAUUGAGCUAGAGACUUAAAAUUUGAUAUGGCUGCAUAUAAUGGCAGUCUAUGAAGAUUGCUAUAGUCGAAAUUGUGAUAGAAGGUCUCAGACCUCAUAUUUUUUUCUUUAGUGGACAACUGCAGAAUGAUGAUGAUAUAGGAAUUGCAAACUGCAUCUCCAUAUGGACAUUACAUGUUGAGAUAUUGGCUGCCGCAGAAUGUAAAACCAAAACCAACCACACAACUGAACGAAUGAUAUUGGAGGGAGUGUCCAUACUAAAUUGUCCAUUUUUUUUAAUAAAGUUUUUCAUAUACUAAAUAAAAUGGUGAUUACAUGUAUAUUUCUCAUCUUGGAACAACA
rnacentral:lncRNA from 1 species